GGAAGACUGACCAGAGGCUCUAUAGAUCUCUAGUAGAACUAGAGCUGGGAAAACAGCCGCCUACCACUAGGUUAGACAGCAUAGAAACAAUUGAUCAACAGAAAACUGCUGGCAAACCGCCUAUGAGAUCGUCACCUACAACAAGGUGAAAUGGGCGGUGGACAGCUUCCAGCCUUUCAAGACAGCGGGCACAGAUGGCGUCUUUCCUGCAAUGCUACUGUGGGGAGGAGAUAAGUUGAUGUACAAACUGACAUAUAUCAGGCCUGUCUGGCCUUUAAAUACACUCCCCUUGCCUGGCGGCGUUAGGGUCAUCUUCACACCCAAGCAAGGUGUCACGGACAGCCCUCUAUGCAGAGGUUGCCUGGGGGCAGAGGAAACAGCCGCUCACGUUCUGCUGGAAAGCAGUGAGGUGGCAAACUACAGGGCAAAGUUAAGAGUGAUAGGUUUCGUCUGUACGAGGUUGACUACAAUAGUCCUGAGCGCACUAGGACUCCCCGAAAGUCCGCGUAUCUGUACAAGGAAAUUCUGCGCACGCGAACACUCGAUAUGCAUUACGAGCCUGACAUGUCUGUCC